rnacentral:lncRNA from 1 species
CUGCAUUUUUUUAAUUGCAAAAACAAUCUCUCUUGUGCUCAUGUAGAGCUGUGUAGACAAUUUUGGAAUGUACACCAAAGAGUGAAGCCGCAUGAUGGUAUUGAGCUGUUAUUUAUAUCCUGGUAAACUUUAGAGCCUAGGAUUGUAAAAUUUUUCUUUUAUGUCUGAAUUUAGUUAUAUGGAAGACUGGAAGAUGUCUCCUAUUAUACAAGUCACCGUUUCAAAUUUUCAUUCCUAGCCUCCAGAACUCAGUUUAGCCGUCCCCGAAAAUUGUCUAGGAAAAAAAAAAUCUCUUUCCCUUUUGGGAAAUGGGUCUCUAGCUUAACGAAUACGAAUGCUUAACCCUUCUGUUGGAGCUUCAAGGACCGGUCCUGUAGAUCUGGAGAACUGUCCGCAGGCUCCCGGUCCGGAGUUGCGCCUGGGCGGCGGGCCAGGUUCCAAAUAGAGGCUUCCGCCUCGCUGCUGGUGUUGGCCUCAGGAAAGGAGAACAGAGAUCAGCUUCUUAGUACCCGGGCAGCUACUAGAGAAGGUGGCCUCAGAACCCGUCCACAUUUCUCCUUCUAGCUCUUUUCGGUAGACGCUUUAAAAGCAACAGUAACGGGUCUCGGUGCCCUUGAAUUCAUAAGUUCGAUUUGCAAAACAGGAAAGGUGCCCAGAGCACUGUGCGGAAAGUGACCGAGGCCCUUUGGGGGACCGCUGCGGCGCGUCCCCAGGCGCCCAAAAGCAGCGCGCAGCGCGGGCUCGGAUUUCAAAGCUCGGCUAGAGGGUGUGUCAAAGCCUUUCCUCCGUACAGCCCUAACCUAGGAUCCUACGCACACCUCCGUUGGGUUGUUUUCUGGAAGCAGUGGUCCCAAAGAAGCGCCUACAUCCCAGCACAGAUCGCAAGAAAUGGCCCGAAUGUUCAGGCCUCGGGCAAUUCCUGUGGCCCCUGGGCCGCACCUCUCAAGACGUCCUUGUCCAAUUCCUUUUUUUAUGACUGAAGCAGAGAAGACUACUCCUCAAGGAGUGUGGUUGGAGUUUGUCAUCGGACGGUCUCUGGUGAUGUGUGGGUGCGCGCGCCUUGGGCCCGCCCUGGAUCUCACGCUCGCGGUGGCAACGAGGAAAGGGAUGUCGUGUGUCCUGAGGCAGUAGAGUAAAGGGCUGGAAACAGCGGUGCUGCGACGUUAACCCGCCCGACCUCAGGCUUCUGGAGACCAGCAACAGUGGGUGCCCGUAGUCUUCAACGCUAGGCUACGUGUCUACCUGCCGCGAGCCACUCCGCACUCAGGCUGCACCGUGUGCCGGCUCCAGGCCUCCGCAGGGUCCCACAGCUGGACGCUUCGCGGCCUCCUGGACUUCCCACUUCCCACACCCAAAUCUCAAAACCUGCUCAUAGCAGCGACCUUUUCUCUCCUCCCUAGGGCGGCCACUCUCAUCUCCAUUCAUCCCCAAGGAGCUCUGGACCACAAAACCAGCCCUCGGUGCCCCUGGCCUCCUCCUGGGCAGGGAAGAACCUGAGCGCUAGCAUUGGGUCCAAAACACGCGCCAAGAAGUGUGAAAGAAGAAAAUUCUCUUCUGAUCCCGUACGCAUGGGAACCCAGAUCCAUUCUUCCCCAAACUCUACACCCCAACCUCCUUUUCCUCCUUCAUCCGUGCUCCCACAGCCCUCUUCUAGGGCCAUCAGAACUUUCCUACUACCAACCUCCCAGCUAUUGGUGGGUGUUAUUUAAAACUUAGGUAUCUUACACAUUGUGAUUUUUUUGCAUGAACUUCGUUUUUAAAAUUAUUUCAUUAAAAUGUUUUCUUGAUUAUUGAGUUUUCUUGGAGCCUUUCUAAAUUUUGGGUUCUCGAUUUGUCCCGAAACUGUUAAGAAUUGGAUCGAAAUUACCUUGAUAAUAAGCUGUUGUGCGGGAACUAUAGCUUCAAAACGCAAAUCUUUAGCUUCAAAAACGGUUGCUUCUGCCACUGUGGCGUGCACUACUAGCCUAUUAAGUAGGAACCUCCAAGAAGAAAAGAGGCCAGGGCACGCAUUGCCUGCUUUGGGAUGAAG